AUGAACGCUAGCGGCAGGCUUAAUACAUGCAAGUCGUGGGGCCAGCAUGGUGUAGCAAUACACUGAUGGCGACCGGCAAAACGGGGUGCGGAACACGUACAGAACCUUCCUUCAAGUGGUGAAUAGCCCAGAGAAAUUUGGAUUAAUACACCGUAACAUAUGAGAGUGGCAUCACUUUUAUAUUAUAGCUUCGGCGCUUUGAAGAUGGCUGUGCGGCUGAUUAGGUAGUUGGCGGGGGUAACGGCCCACCAAGCCUGCGAUCAGUAACUGGUGUGAGAGCACGACCAGUCACACGGGCACUGAGACACGGGGCCCCGACUCCUACGGGAGGCCAGCAGUAAGGAAUAUUGGUCAAUGGACGCAAGUCUGAACCAGCCACGCCGCGUGAAGGAUGAAGGUCCUCUGGAUUGUAAACUUCUUUUAUCUGGGACGAAAAAAAGGGCUUUCUAGCUCGACUGACGGUACCAGAGGAAUAAGCACCGGCUUAACUCCGUGCCAGCAGCCGCGGUAAUACGGAGGGUGCAAGCGUUUAUCCGGAAUUCACUGGGUUUUAAAGGGAGCGUAGGCGGGCAGGUAAGUCAGUGGUGAAAUCCUAGAGCUUAACUCUAGAACUGCCAUUGAUACUAUCUGUCUUGAAUAUCCUGGAGGUAAGCGGAAUAUGUCCAUGUAGCGGUGAAAUGCUUAGAUAUGACAUAGAACACCCAUUGCGAAGGCCAGCUUACUACGGGAUGAUUGACGCUGAGGCUCGAAAGCGUGGGGGAUCAAACAGGAUUAGAUACCCUGUAGUCCACGCCCUAAACGAUGGAUACUCGACAUCAGCGAUACACUGUUGGUGUCUGAGCGAAAGCAUUAAGUAUCCCACCUGGGAAGUACGACCGCAAGGUUGAAAACUCAAAGGAAUUGACGGGGGCCCGCACAAGCAGCGUGGAUGCAUGUGGAUUAAUUCGAAUGCAACGCGAAGAACCUUACCUAGCCUUGACAUCUGGGAAUUAUGGCCCUUAAUCGACGGGAGUCACUUCAGGUCGACCUGGCAGUCCACAGGUGGCUGCAUGGCCUGUCGUCAGCUCGUGUCGUGAGAUGUUGGGUUAAGUCCCGCAACGAGCGCAACCCUCUCUCAGUUAGUGCUACAUUCGUUAGAGCCACUCUAGGAGACUGCCCGGAUUACAACCGGGAGGAAGGUGGGGAUGACGUCAAAGUCCUCAUGCCCCUUAUGUCUAGGGCCACACACGUGCUACAAUGGCUGGUGACAGAGGGCAUGCGAUACGGAGGUGACCGGAGCCAAAUCUCAAAAAGCCGUCUCAGUUCGGAUUGCAGCUCUGCAACUCGGCUACAUGAGGUGGAAGUCGCUAGUAAUCGCGGAAUCAGCAAUGUCGCGGUGAAUACGUUCCCGGGCCUUGUACACACCGCCCGUCACACCAUGAGGAGUUGGUUUAAUACCCUGAAGCUGGUGCGCCUAACCGCGCAAGGGGGGCAGCCGAACCUACGGUA
rnacentral:rRNA from 1 species